CUGCGACGCUGCUCGGGGACCCCUUGAGGAAAGCCCAGCGACGCCGGGCCAGCGCAUUCUUAUUUUAUGAAGAUCUGGCAAGAGUUAGCGUGCAGUUCUACAUUGUGACAAUUCAUGAGAGCUAAGGACUGGCUGUCUCUUGGGACAAAUAGGCUUUCUUGAGUCUGCAUGAGGCCCUCACCAGAUACAGCCACCUGAUCUUGGACUUCACAGCCUCCAGAAAUCUUUGCUUCCACUUCUAAGUGAGAACAUACAGUGUUUGGUUUUUCAUUCCUGAGUUACUUCACCUAGAACAAUGGCCUCCAGCUCCAUCCAAGUUGCUGCAGAAGACAUUUCAUUCCUUUUAUGGCUGAGUAGUAUUCCAUGUCCAGUGAUUCAAGUUUGACACACCACACCACGGUGGAUGUGCCUUGUCAUGACACAUCUUCUCAGCAGCACUAGAAGAUACAUCCAAAGUCCUGUGAGCAAGGACACAGCGAGAAGAUGGCUGUCUACAAGCCAGGAAGAGAGUCCUCACCAGAACCAAACCCUGCUGGACUUUGAUCUUGGACUUCCCAGCCUCUAAAACUGUGAAGACAUAAAUUUCUGUUGUUAAACCCACACAGGUCUGUGGUAUCUGUUUAUUAUGGCAGCCCAGUAAGACUAAGACAGGCCAUCACAAGACAUGAAUGUUUUGGACCUUCUCUUGGGCCCUAGUAAACAGAAAUCAGGUACGCAAAAGGGGUAAGCAUAUAAUUUCCUUUAUUUUUAUUUUUAAUGUGUAAGCCUUAGGUUUUUAUUUAUUUAUUUGGUGAAGACAAUCACAUUGUGUACGUACAAUGUAAUUAUAUUGUUGACGAGAAGUUACUUAAAAUUUUUUAAAAAUUCUAAUCGAUUUCUAGAUGUCCAAAUGAGAAGAUAGCAUUUAUAUACCAUCAGAACAUAAAAUAAUUCAAAAAAAUAAAUUUAUAAAACAAUAUGUAUUAUAUUGAGAGAAAGAGAGGGAGAGAGUAUUGGAAGAAUAUAUGCAAAUACAAUGUGAUAAUGUGAUGUCUUUGUGAGAAUGCUAUAUGUCAUUUUCUUUGUUUAUAUGAAUUUUUACAAUUUUUACCUUUGAAAUAUAAAAAAGAGAGAAUAAAAGUCAUUGAAAAAAUCAAAA
rnacentral:lncRNA from 1 species